rnacentral:rRNA from 1 species
GACGAACGCUGGCGGCGUGCUUAACACAUGCCAGUCGAACGAUGAACCCGGAGCUUGCUCUGGGGGAUUAGUGGCGAACGGGUGAGUAACACGUGAGUAACCUGCCCUGGACUCUGGGAUAAGCGUUGGAAACGACGUCUAAUACCGGAUAGGACCUUGGAUCGCAUGAUCUGGGGUGGAAAGUUUUUUCGGUCUGGGAUGGACUCGCGGCCUAUCAGCUUGUUGGUGAGGUAAUGGCUCACCAAGGCGUCGACGGGUAGCCGGCCUGAGAGGGUGACCGGCCACACUGGGACUGAGACACGGCCCAGACUCCUACGGGAGGCAGCAGUGGGGAAUAUUGCACAAUGGGCGAAAGCCUGAUGCAGCAACGCCGCGUGCGGGAUGACGGCCGUCGGGUUGUAAACCGCUUUUAGUAGGGAAGAAGGGCUUCGGCUUGACGGUACCUGCAGAAAAAGGACCGGCUAACUACGUG